rnacentral:lncRNA from 1 species
UUUUGCGUAGAAGAAGAAGAAGGAGAAGAUCCGCCAUUGUUAGCUCUGUUUUGAGAUUUACAGUUUUUGAACAUUUGUGGAGCAGAGGUGCACCAUGGCUUGCCACAAUGUCACAAUGGGUUCUUGGAGAGCCGCUGCUGUUGACUUGCUGCAUGUCUCCUCUCUGCGGCAAAACUCCACAAAUACUCCACUCACCAAGUUCCAGAGGGAGAGAUUGUGUUAAGAAUAUGGAGAAAGACGGACCAAGGCAAGAAGAGGAGGAGGAGGAGGAAG